rnacentral:misc_RNA from 1 species
GAUUAGAAAAGGAGUUGCAUGAAAAGAAACUAGCAUUUGAGUCUAUGAUAGAAAGAGUACAUAAAUUACAAGAAAAUCUAGAAGAAUCUAAUGGAAAAUUAGAAGAAAGUAAUAAGCAGUUGACAGAAAUGAAAGCAGAAAAUUUAAAAUUAAAAGAAGAACAUCAAGAACAACUUCAUAAAGCAACUAAACUUAGGCUUGAUUCUGUAUCAGAAGUUGUUUCCAAAAUGGAUGAAAUAAAAGAAGAGAAUAGAUAUUUACAGUUACAAUUAGAAUCUAAUCUGAAAACUCAAGAGUUACAAUCCAAAAAAAUUGGAAAAUUACAAGAUGCUGUGGAAUCUCUAGAAGAACAAAUAAAACAAUUAGAGAUUACACAUGAAGAAAAAAUUGAAACAAUGAAACAAGAACAGAAAGAAUUAAUUAAAGAAAUGAAAUAUUUGAAACAACAAGAAAUAUUAAAAAUAAAAACAGAAAUGGAAGAAAGAGAAAAAUCAUUAAAUGAGAAUCUAAGUAGAUUUGAAGAAGAGAAAUCACAACUAAAACAGGAAAUUAUCAAAUUAAAUGGAAAAUUAUUAGAAGAGAAAACCAAAACAGAAGAUUUAUUGCAACAACAAAGAUUAGAACUUCACAAGGAUAUGAAUGAACAAUGUUCUCAUCUUUUGGUAAAACUUCAUUCUUUACAGAAAGAAAAUGAUAAUCAUUUUAAAAUAAUAUCACAGCAAAAAUUUGAAAUUGCACAAUUGCAAUCAGCAAAAGAAUAUUUACAAGUGGAAAAUGAUAAUCAGUCAAAGCUUAUUGAUCAGUUAAAAGAGGAAACUUCAUACAGUUUGCACUGUCUAUAGUCGAUUUCGGAAAUCAAUGCUCCACUGUGCUUAAUUUUCACAUUUAACAAUACCAAUUUAAAAAUAUUUUGUUCCAAAAUUAAGAGUUUGCAUAAUGUGAGAUUCAACCAUGAAGCUUAAUGUGUAUAACAAGCAAAUAGCAUGUAAAGAUGCAGAAUUAAGAAGGUUAAUCACCAAUUAUGAAGAAGAAAAUAAAGAGAAAC